rnacentral:rRNA from 1 species
AAGGAGCGAGUGCGAGCCAAUCUUAGAAAGUCGCUCGUAGUCCGGAUUGGAGUCUGCAACUCGACUCCAUGAAGUCGGAAUCGCUAGUAAUCGCGAAUCAGCAUGUCGCGGUGAAUACGUUCCCGG